AUGAGUAUUGUGGGAGAGACUAAACGCAUUGUUUAGCACCGAAGGAGCAAGUCCCAAAAAUUGGGCUCAAUCUCUCAGGUAAAAGGACCACAAUAGGACG
rnacentral:ncRNA from 2 species